rnacentral:rRNA from 1 species
CGCAGCCGCGGUAAUUCCAGCUCCAAUAGCGUAUAUUAAAGUUGUUGCAGUUAAAAAGCUCGUAGUUGAAUUUCGGGAUCAAUACGUCGGUCGUGCUUUUGGGUACGUACUGGCGUUAUUGGUUUCUCUCUUCUGACGAACCAUGAUGUCAUUAAUUUGGUGUUAUGGGGAGUUAGGACUGUUACUUUGAAAAAAUUAGAGUGUUUAAAGCAGGCAUUAGCUUGAAUACAUUAGCAUGGAAUAAUGAAAUAGGACGUUUGAUCCUAUUUUGUUGGUUUCUAGGAUCGACGUAAUGAUUAAUAGGGAUAGUUGGGGGCAUUAGUAUUCAAUUGUCAGAGGUGAAAUUCUUGGAUUUAUUGAAGACUAACUACUGCGAAAGCAUUUGCCAAGGAUGUUUUCAUUAAUCAAGAACGAAAGUUAGGGGAUCGAAGACGAUCAGAUACCGUCGUAGUCUUAACCAUAAACUAUGCCGACUAGGGAUCGGAUGAUGUUAAUUUUUAAUGACUCAUUCGGCGCCUUA